rnacentral:rRNA from 1 species
UACGGGAGGCAGCAGUGGGGAAUAUUGCACAAUGGGCGCAAGCCUGAUGCAGCCAUGCCGCGUGUAUGAAGAAGGCCUUCGGGUUGUAAAGUACUUUCAGUCGUGAGGAAGGUGUUAAGGUUAUAACCUUAGCAAUUGACGUUAGCGACAGAAGAAGCACCGGCUAACUCCGUGCCAGCAGCCGCGGUAAUACGGAGGGUGCGAGCGUUAAUCGGAAUUACUGGGCGUAAAGGGCACGCAGGCGGUUAAUUAAGUUGGAUGUGAAAUCCCCGGGCUUAACCUGGGAAUGGCAUUUCAAGACUGGUUAGCUAGAGUCUUGUAGAGGGGGUAGAAUUCCAUGUGUAGCGGUGAAAUGCGUAGAGAUGUGGAGGAAUACCGGUGGCGAAGGCGGCCCCUGGGACAAAGACUGACGCUCAUGUGCGAAAGCGUGGGGAGCAAACAGGGAUUAGAUACC